rnacentral:rRNA from 1 species
CAAUAGCGUAUAUUAAAGUUGUUGCAGUUAAAAAGCUCGUAGUUGGAUUUCUGAUCGAGACAUCAGGUCGGGUCCGAGAGGAUCAUGUACUUUGAUUUUGUUUUGAUCAUCCUUGGGGAGAGCAUUUCUGGCAUUCAGUUGUCGGGAUUGGGAUCCUCAUCGUUUACUGUGAAAAAAUUAGAGUGUUCAAAGCAGGCCUCGGCCUCUGAAUACAUUAGCAUGGAAUAAUAAGAUAGGACUUUGGUGGUCUAUUUUGUUGGUUUGCACGCCAAAGUAAUGAUUAAUAGGGAUAGUUGGGGGUAUUCGUAUUCAAUUGUCAGAGGUGAAAUUCUUGGAUUUAUGGAAGACGAACUACUACGAAAGCAUUUACCAAGGAUGUUUUCAUUAA